GACGGACGCUGGCGGCGUGCUUAACACAUGCAAGUCGAGCGGUAAGGCCCUUUCGGGGGUACACGAGCGGCGAACGGGUGAGCAACACGUGGGUGACCUGCCCUCAGCUCUGGGAUAAGCCCGGGAAACUGGGUCUAAUACCGGAUAUGACUUCAUGACGCAUGUUGUGGAGUGGAAAGCCUUGUGCGGCUGAGGAUGGGCCCGCGGCCUAUCAGCUUGUUGGGGGGUGAUGGCCUACCAAGGCGACGGACGGGUACGCCGGCCUGAGGAGGGCGGACCGGCCACAC
rnacentral:rRNA from 1 species